rnacentral:rRNA from 1 species
GAUGAACGCUGGCGGCGUGCCUAAUACAUGCAAGUCGAGCGAAUAGACGAGGAGCUUGCUCCUCUGACGUUAGCGGCGGACGGGUGAGUAACACGUGGAUAACCUACCUAUAAGACUGAGAUAACUUCGGGAAACCGGAGCUAAUACCGGAUAAUAUAUUGAACCGCAUGGUUCAAUAGUGAAAGACGGUUUUGCUGUCACUUAUAGAUGGAUCCGCGCCGCAUUAGCUAGUUGGUAAGGUAACGGCUUACCAAGGCAACGAUGCGUAGCCGACCUGAGAGGGUGAUCGGCCACACUGGAACUGAGACACGGUCCAGACUCCUACGGGAGGCAGCAGUAGGGAAUCUUCCGCAAUGGGCGAAAGCCUGACGGAGCAACGCCGCGUGAGUGAUGAAGGUCUUCGGAUCGUAAAACUCUGUUAUUAGGGAAGAACAAAUGUGUAAGUAACUAUGCACGUCUUGACGGUACCUAAUCAGAAAGCCACGGCUAACUACGUG